GACGAACGCUGGCGGCGUGCUUAACACAUGCAAGUCGAACGGAAGGGCCCUGCUUUUGUGGGGUGCUCGAGUGGCGAACGGGUGAGUAACACGUGAGUAACCUGCCCUUGACUUUGGGAUAACAUCAGGAAACUGGGGCUAAUACCGGAUAGGAGCUCCUGCUGCAUGGUGGGGGUUGGAAAGUUUCGGCGGUUGGGGAUGGACUCGCGGCUUAUCAGCUUGUUGGUGGGGUAGUGGCUUACCAAGGCUUUGACGGGUAGCCGGCCUGAGAGGGUGACCGGCCACAUUGGGACUGAGAUACGGCCCAGACUCCUACGGGAGGCAGCAGUGGGGAAUAUUGCACAAUGGGCGGAAGCCUGAUGCAGCAACGCCGCGUGCGGGAUGACGGCCUUCGGGUUGUAAACCGCUUUCGCCUGUGACGAAGCGUGAGUGACGGUAAUGGGUAAAGAAGCACCGGCUAACUACGUG
rnacentral:rRNA from 1 species